rnacentral:rRNA from 1 species
GCUAAAAACCUAGCCCAAACCUCCUCCCACACACCCAAUAACCCAUUAAAAUAUUUUAAUAUUUAAGUAGGGACGACCGAAAAACUUACAAGAGCUAUAAUAAAGUACCGCAAGGGAAAGAUGAAAUAAUAAUGAAACACCACAAAAGCACAAAAAAGUAAAGUUUAUAGCUUGUACCUUUUGCAUCAUGGUUUAACUAGUUUAACUAAGCAAAAAGAUUUUUAGUUUAACCCCCCGAAACCGAAUGAGCUACUUCAAGGCAGCCUACUGAGCUAACCCGUCCCUGUUGCAAAAGGGUGGGAUGACCUUGUGAUAGAGGUGACAGACCUAACGAAUUCGGUGAUAGCUGGUUACUCAGGAAAAGAAUCUUAGUCCAACCUAAAGUUACUAAAUAAAAUAUACUACUGCUUUAGAGUAACUCAAAUAAGGUACAGCCUAUUUGACACAGGACACAACCUCAAACAAUGGCUAACUCACAACACAUUUAAACUAAGUA